rnacentral:rRNA from 1 species
GACGAACGCUGGCGGCGUGCUUAACACAUGCCAGUCGAACGGAAAGGACCUGCUUUUGUGGGGUGCUCGAGUGGCGAACGGGUGAGUAACACGUGAGUAACCUGCCCUUGACUUUGGGAUAACUUCAGGAAACUGGGGCUAAUACCGGAUAGGAGCUCCUGCUGCAUGGUGGGGGUUGGAAAGUUUCGGCGGUUGGGGAUGGACUCGCGGCUUAUCAGCUUGUUGGUGGGGUAGUGGCUUACCAAGGCUUUGACGGGUAGCCGGCCUGAGAGGGUGACCGGCCACAUUGGGACUGAGAUACGGCCCAGACUCCUACGGGAGGCAGCAGUGGGGAAUAUUGCACAAUGGGCGGAAGCCUGAUGCAGCAACGCCGCGUGCGGGAUGACGGCCUUCGGGUUGUAAACCGCUUUCGCCUGUGACGAAGCGUGAGUGACGGUAAUGGGUAAAGAAGCACCGGCUAACUACGUG